CACUGGACUUUGGUGUUAGAACUAAAUGGUCCCAGGUCACGUGGCUGUGACCUCAUGGUCCAGGGCUGGUUUUUUUGUGCUUCUCCAACUCCCUUUUCCUCCAGCCCCACCACGAUUUAUUCGUGAUAGUGGAAGGGUCACUGAGGACCACCACUGUGCCGGAAAAGCCUUCUCAAGUACGUGGUGGGGUGAGGGCUAUGGCCCCAAAGCCACUCCUUUUUUUUUUUUUUUAAAAGACAGGGUUUCUCUGUGGCUUUGGAGCCUGUCCUGGAACUAGCUCUGUAGACCAGGCUGGCCUCGAACUCACAGAGAUCCGCUUGCCUCUGCCUCCCGAGUGCUGAGAUUAAAGGCGUGCGCCACCAUCGCCCGGCUCCCAAAGCCUCCUGAUCGCACUACCCUUCCCUGACAAUGGGGAGGCCUGGCCUGGACUCUCCUGUUAGGGGUUGUAGUCACUUUCUGUCUUGGUGGUACUGCAAGGACAGGGCUGCCAGACCUGCUUCAAGGCACCUUUCAGCACCCGCCUUUCCUAGAGCUCCGAGUCUUAGGGUUUGGGGCUCCCCCAGUUCCCAGGUUCUAGUCGUUUUAUUCACUCUCUUCCUUGAGUUCCUCACAGGGUUAUCAGCACCUCCUACAGUCACCCCUCUUUGCAAUCCUGUUGGCUGGUUGGUGCCGGCUUAAUCCUACCAGAGACCCUCUGUCCUGUUGCUGCCAGAACAGAAAACUUGGAGUUUGGGGGUGAGCUGGGUGGGUCUGGACCGCACCCAGCGGAGCCACAGGAGGUGCAAUGUGAAGUUGGCCAAGGCCUUCCUGAAAUUGCAGUCUUUUCUUCUUGCCUCAGCACAUCUUCAUGGAAAGAUGGGGAAAUCGGAUCAGGGGGAGAUGACUCCAGGUUGUGUCAAAUUCACAGUCAAAACUAAUAAGACAGGCUGGAGAGAUGGCUCAGCGGUUAAGAGCACCGACUGCUCUUCCAGAGGACCCGAGUUCAAAUCCCAGUAUCGAUGUGGUGGCUCACAACUGUCUGUAACUCCAGUUCCAGGGGACCUGACACCCAUGGCCAAACAUCAAUGCAAUUAAACAAAUAAAUUAAAAAACACAAAACUAAAACUAUCGAUAUUUCAUGAGGGGUAAAGAUAAUUUU